rnacentral:misc_RNA from 1 species
GAAAUGCGAUAAGUAAUGUGAAUGGCAGAAUGCCGUGAAUCAUCGAAUCUUUGAACGCACAUGGCGCCCGCCAGUACUCUGGCACGCAUGCCGAUUCGAGCGUCGUUUCGACCAUCGAGCCCCCGGGCUCGCGUUGGGGAUCUGCGGCCGCGCGCAGGCCCCGAAAACCAGUGGCGGGCUCGCCGUCACCCCGAGCGUAGUAGCAUCCGUUUCUCGCUCCGGGGCGUGGCGCGGGACCCGGCCGUUAAAGGGCGGUUGACAACGCCCAACAUACCCAGGUUGACCUCGGAUCAGGUAGGAAUACCCGCUCAACUUAA